rnacentral:rRNA from 1 species
CCCUUAGAUGUUCUGGGCCGCACGCGCGCUACACUGAUGCAUUCAACGAGUUUCUUCCUGGUCCGAGAGGGAUGGGUAACCUUUUGAAAGUGCAUCGUGAUAGGAAUAGACUAUUGCAAUUAUUGGUCUUCAACGAGGAAUUCCUAGUAGACGUAGUUCAUCAGACUGCAUCGAUUACGUCCCUGCCCUUUGUACACACCGCCCGUCGCUCCUACCGAUUGAAUGCUCAGGUGAGCCAUUCGGACUUUCAUCAUGCUGGUUUCCAGUUUUGAUGAAGGAAAGUCUUGCGAACCUUAUCAUUUAGAGGAAGGAGAAGUCGUAACA